UACGUAGGGUGCAAGCGUUGUCCGGAAUUAUUGGGCGUAAAGAGCUCGUAGGCGGUUCGUCGCGUCGGCUGUGAAAACCUGAGGCUCAACCUCAGGCCUGCAGUCGAUACGGGCGGACUUGAGUACUGCAGGGGAGACUGGAAUUCCUGGUGUAGCGGUGAAAUGCGCAGAUAUCAGGAGGAACACCGAUGGCGAAGGCAGAUCUCUGGGCCGUAACUGACGCUGAGGAGCGAAAGCGUGGGGAGCGAACAGG
rnacentral:rRNA from 1 species